rnacentral:lncRNA from 1 species
AGAGCUGGAGGCGGCCGGACCGGGCCAGACAGAUUUCCUGCUCUCCUGUAGGGCUGAGGGCUGCCGGCUGCGGGCUACGGGCUGCGGGCUACAGGCUACGGGCUACGGACUGCGGGCUGCGAGAGAAGUCACCGGCGGCGCAGGUACCUCACUGCCUACGCGCGUCCCCACGACCCUCCCUCGCGCCGGCGGGGACAGCGGACGCCCCGGAGCGGAGCGCGUCGGGCGGGCGCCCGGGAGAUGCGGAGUCGCCGCGGCGGAGCGAUCGGGGCUACAGCACCGGUCCCUGGGAGGUGAGUGGCGCGGUGAGGGUGGGUGGCAGUACGUCCGGAGAUGGCCGUGCUCCCCGUGCACAUUGAGCAGACCGGGAUAUCCUGGGCCACUGCCAGGGAGAAACGGGUCGUUGUACGGGAGCUGCGUCCGAGCCAGGUCCUUGCCAUCCUCCUAGUGUACAGGAUGCUAGCGACUGUAGACCCUGCGACCCCAGCUACCUGCUCGAGACGCGGUCCGAACUUGGCUACCACCUAGGCAGCUCUCUCGGUGAAUAGCUACACAGAGGGCGUGUGUCUGUGGGUGGCGACUGUAGGAAGAGGACAACAACCUGGGGAUGUGUGUGAACGCAGUGGAAACGGGAGUGGGUUCCAACCGGUGUGUUGGGGGCUGCGCACGCAGGGCUUAAGACUGGAGCUUUUCCAGAAAGUGACUCGAGUUGCGCCAACUCCCGGCGCAGCGGGGGCGCUGCGGGGAUGCUGGCGCCCGGUCUAGGGCCGGGAGCCUUCCCCGGCAGGCGUCAGUUGGGGAUUCAGGGUCAAGGUGGAACCUGGCAGGUAGCUCAGGUAUGACGCCACGAAUUGCAGUCCGUAGGGGGACCUGAGGAGGUCCUGAAGCCAAAGGCCAGCGGUACCCAUCUUGGUGCUUCCUGGGACCAUCUGGGGAAGGCUUGGAGACCCACAGGGUGAUGAGGUAGAGCCAAGCCUGAGGACUAGGGACUGGAUCUGACCUAAAUUCCUUUCAGUCAUGAAGUAUUGUUCUAGAGAGGUUAGAGUGUGAUGCCUGUAGGUUUAUAUUGAUUUAUAACGACUCUGUAAGUGUUGGAACCUCAGCAACUACAGGAAGAAAAUGGAGCCUUGACUGUGUCGGAGAGUUUGAAGGAAGACCAGCAAAGGGUGCUCAUGUGUUCUAGAAAUGAUUGUGUCUCUUGCCUAGUCACUAAUGUCCUUGCACCUAAGUGCCUCGUGACCCAAGGUGCCUGGACACCUUUGCAACAAUGUUUAUGCAUUUAUUUUCCUACAAUGUAAAAACCUAUGCUUAGUUAAAGUGGAGCUGGGAAAUGGGGGUGGGAAUGUUUUUCCAAAGCUGAGGGACUAAGCCAAAGGGGGCAUGAAACAGUAGGUUGCUGGUGGCUGCCAAGGUCCCUCAGCUUUCAGGACAUGGACAAAAGGCUGGGUCUCUCAGUGCAAGUUCAAGGUCCUGGGGAAACAAAAGGCCAGGUGUUGGUUAGCCUAAAAGGUGGGGUCCACAUUGUCAGGGAGAGGGUUUCUGUCUCCUGAAUGCCAGGUUUGGGCCCAGGUCCUAGUUUCUUGGGAUCAAUGUUGCCUGUGGAUCAUCAUCAACACAACCCAACAGUUUUCUGGUUCGGAAGUUGGUAGCAUUGUUUGUCUUCCUGAAAGGCCAGGUCAUUGGGCAAGCUGGAUCUGAUAAUCCAGGACCUCUCAGGCAAAUCAGCCCUGAAGUUUCAGUAAGGGAGUUGUUGUCCUUGAAUGCUUCCUGGAGCCCCUGUCUGGUCACAAGGUUAGAACAAGGCUGGCCAUUGGUUCCCAGCCUGGAAACACAUUUGUCUCUGCUGUGGAGGCAAAGUUGGCCCAGCAGAGCUCCUGGGUCAGCAGUCCUGCCACUUCAGAGAUGGCCUGGAGGAGGACUUGAAACUCUGCCCUUGAAACUAUCCUGGGAGUGAUCUCCUCAGCCCUAGGCAUUCCUGCUCACAAAUCCUUUCACCCCGAGGAAGCGCAGGGAGGUGUGGGAAAGGCCAUUACAGUUGUCAAGUUGUGCUUCUGAGCCUGGUUGUCCCUCAUUGAUCCUCACGGCUCCAUCUCUGAGGACAUUUAUUGAAACCACGCCCCUGCUAGUCAGAGACAAAUUGGUAGGCUGAGGCAUGUUCUGCAGUGCACCUGGUAUUUUCUUCCAGGGCAACAACCUUACCGCCAACAUGUCCCAAAUCAAAGGUGUGCCUUCAUUGCCCCCGACUCCACACACUCACCUAACUUCUCUCAAUGCUUUCUUCACCCUUCCGAAUGCACUAGCCUCCUUUCUGCAUCUAAAAGGGAUGCUGAACAGGGGCUUAGGUUAGGACAGGACUGUGAGCUCAGCGCUUGGAAGUAGUUUCUUGCUGGCUGCUGUUGGGUGGAGAAACUGGUGAUGAAGUAGGCCUCUCUGGAACAUGUGUGCUUAUAUGUAAGGCUCUCUGGAACAUGUGUGCUUAUGUGUAGGGCUCUCUGGAGCAUGUGUGUUUGUGUGAAAGAGCUUCUGUGCUUUCCACAGAUGUCUGUUGCAAUGUAUAUUGAAGUGUACUGGAUCAUGGAAAGAGGAGACAAACCAUAAAGGAGAUACAGGGCCAGUUCUUAAGGGGACACUAAAUCAAAGAGACCCUACAGGAUUCCCCAAGGAGGCAGGUUUGGGGGCAGUAGGGGGACAGGAACUACAGGAGUUCUCUUCCCUCACUGGUGCAUUUUCUUAUUCAUGGUGUUUGGGUCUCACCUAGGAAGGCUCUGCUCCAAAACAGAAGGGAAUGCGGCUGUUGGAGGAGAGUCGGGCCUCUUAGCCCCUGAGAGUCACUUGAGAAGGCCCUGUGCAAUGUAGGUUAUCGUUGGCUUGCUGUUUCCUAACAAACAGUGCUGUGGCCUGGUCUUCCAGCAGGCCCCCAACUCUCUAGACCAUAAGACAUGGAGCCUGUUAUCAAGUGAUUUAGCCUUCCUAAAACCUCUGUGGACCCUCUGCCAGAGAGUACUUUCUCUUCCUCUUGGUUCUAUGGACGGACAUUUGGCCUUAUUCUAAAGUACUUGUUCAAGUCUAUUUUAGGGUAAUAGUUGAUUUGUUUUAACAGUUCAGCUCUUCCACGAGAAAGGGAAGGUCUCUGAGACCUUGGACUUUGUUGGGUUUAGACUUGGAUUCGAAUCCUGCCUCUGGUGUGGUCUUGCUUAAAUGACUUAAAUUCAGACAAUAUGCUUACUCCUCAGGAGUGGAAUGCUCGUCACUACUUUGUAUGGCUACAGAGAUGGGGUCAGGGGAUGCAUAUACAUUAGAAAGCAUGUGAUCAACACCCAAGAAAGCAUGUAUGUUUCCUAAAAUACCAAAGGCUAUAUGCAUCAUACAUGG